AAGUCGUAACAAGGUUUCCGUAGGUGAACCUGCGGAAGGAUCAUUAACACGUAUCCAACGUUAAAACCCCUGUGAACUUUCAGCCUGCUCUUGUGGCCCGUGUGAACUGCUCCAUAUGCGCACGCUGCAAUUGAGCGGUAGAAGCAGUGGCAUGGCGUCCCCAAGCCUCCAGUGAAUGAAAGUGUCACUGGAAAGUGUAAGGAUAACGCUUCUCGGUUGCUAGAGGUCGAUCACCGACCGGCAGACAUGCCACAGGGUCACCGCGCCCCUAAUCACUCCCUCUGAACCAUACGCCGGCGCCGUUGAAAAGCUGCGCUAAAAAAAACCGAACAACUGUUAACAAUGGAUAUCUUGGUUCUC
rnacentral:misc_RNA from 1 species